UUGGAAUUUGUGGUGGACAGUCGUGGUCCAUUUUUGGUACAAGCGAUUGUCGCCAUCCUUGGGUGGAAGCCGCGUGGCAUUAAGUUGUCGUGCGGGGGAUGCCCAUCGUUUACUGUGAAAAAAUCAGCGCGUUCAAAGCAGGCUUAUGCCGUUGAAUGUAUUAGCAUGGAAUAAUAAGAUAGGACCUUGGUACUAUUUUGUUGGUUUGCGCACCGAGGUAAUGAUUAAUAGGGACAGUUGGGGGUAUUCGUAUUCCAUUGUCAGAGGUGAAAUUCUUGGAUUUCUGGAAGACGAACUACUGCGAAAGCAUUUACCAAGGAUGUUUUCAUUAAUCAAGAACGAAAGUUAGGGGAUCGAAGAUGAUUAGAUACCAUCGUAGUCA
rnacentral:rRNA from 1 species